GGCAGACAAGGGGGAGACAAGGGGGAGAUGGGGGAAUCCUAACCCUCCACCCUGCUGGUUGUUAUCUCCCACACACAGCUCCACUCAUGCUGCAUACAGUCACACAGCAGGACCAUACUAUGCGUCAGGAACAUUCAGGUACUGUCGUCUUAUCAAUAGCGAUUUGUGAGGGUGUGCUAUAGCAUUACACAAUGAUGGGGUAAGAUUUACAUCAGACAGCCGACCAGUCCUGGCCCAGAUGUGAAAGCAUCCCUCUAGCUCAGCUGCUAUGUCAGCCGCCGCUCACUGCCUGAGCCACGAGCACUGCACAAUGCCGAGGAAUGCAUAGCUGGGAAAAUCAGCAGCAGUAAGCUAGCUCAUUCUCCAACAGAAAGACCUGAGCCCUAGGACCAUGCCUCAGGACUACCUGGCAUGAGGACUCCUUGCUGUCCCCAAUCCACCUGGCCAUGCUGCUGCUCCAGUUUCAACUGUUCUGCCUGCGGCUAUGGAACCCUGACCUGUUCACCGGACGUGCUACCUGUCCCAGACCUGCUGUUUUCAACUCUCUAGAGACAGCAGGAGCGGUAGAGAUACUCUUAAUGAUCGGCUAUGAAAAGCCAACUGACAUUUAGUCCUGAGGUGCUGACUUGCUGCACCCUCGACAACUACUGUGAUUAUUAUUAUUUGACCAUGCUGGUCAUUUAUGAACAUUUGAACAUCUUGGCCAUGUUCUGUUAUAAUCUCCACCCGGCAUAUCCAGAAGAAGACUGGCCACACCUCAUAGCCUGGUUCCUGUCUAGGUUUCUUCCUAGGGUUUGGCCUUUCUAGGGAGUUUUUCCUAGCCACUGUGCUUCUACACCUGCAUUGCUUGCUGUUUGGGGUUUUAGGCUGGGUUUCUGUACAGCACUUUGAGAUAUAAGCUGAUGUAAGAAGGGCUAUAUAAAUACAUUUGAUUUGAUUUGAAGCAUCCUUGACAACAAAUCAUGACGUUACAUUACAUAAAACUGUCCUUCUUUAGACUAGUUGAGUAUCUGGAGCAUCAGCAUUUGUGGGUUCGAUUACAUGCUCAAAAUGGCUAGAAACAGAGACUUUCUUCUGAAACUUGUCAGUCUAUUCCAUGCGGGAAAUUGCCAAGAAACUGAAGAUCUUGUACAACGCUGUGUUCUCCCUUCACAGAACCACACAAACUGCCUCUAACCAGAAUAGAAAGAUGAGUGGGAGGCCCCACUUGCACAACUGAGCAAGAGGACAAGUACAUUAGAGUGUCUAGAUUGAGAAACAGACGCCUCACAAGUCCUCAACUGGCAGCUUCAUUAAAUAGUACCCACAAAACACCUGUCUCAACGUCAACAGUGAAGAGGUAACACCGGGAUGCUGGCCUAGGCAGAGUUGCAAGGAAAAAGCCACAUCUCAGACAGGCCAAUAAAAAUAAAAUAUAAGAUGGGCAAAAGAACACAGAUACUGGACAGAGUGUUAUGGACAGACAAAUCUAAGUUUGAGGUGUUUGAAUCACAAAGAAGAACCUUUGUGAGAUGCAGAAAAAAAUGAAAAGAUGCUGGAGGAGUGCUUGACACCAUCUGUCAAGCAAUGUGAUGGUUUGGGGGUGCUUUGGUGGUGGUAAAGUGGGAGAUUUGUACACGGUAAAAGAGAUAUUGAAGAAGGAAGGCUUUCACUCCAUUUUGUAACGCCAUGCCAUACCCUCUGGACGGUACUUAAUUGGAGACAAUUUCCUCCUACAACAGGACAAUGACCCAAAGCACAGCUCCAAACUAUGCAAGAACGAUUUAAGGAAGACGCAGUCAGCUGGUAUUCUGUAUAUAAUAGAGUGGCCUGCACAGUCACCGGAUCUCAACCCUAUUGAGCUGUUCUGGGAGAAGCUUGACCAUAUGGUACGCAAGAAGUGCCCAUCAAGCCAAUCCAACUUGUGGGAGGUGCUUCAGGAAGCAUGGGGUGAAAUAUCUUCAGAUUACCUCAAAAAAUUGACUAGAAUGCCAAAGGUUUGCAAAGCUGUAAUUGCUGCAAGUGGAAGAUUCUUUGACGAAAGCAAAGUUUGAAGGACACAAUUAUUAUGUCAAUUAAAAAUCAUUAUUUAUAACUUUGCAACCCAUUUCAUGUAUGUUUCAAAGGAAAACAAGGAAAUGUCUAAGUGACCCCAAACUUUUGAAUGGUAGUGUAUAAGGUUUAUCAAACUUGUGAGGAUCUCCAUGCUCAUUAGUUGGUCAUUUAACAUAUGUGUUGCUACUUCACUCAAUUCUGUUUUAAAAGGUCUCCCUUCCUAACUGCUUUACAUUCACUGAGACCAACCAGAAAGGUUUCCUUGGCCAAAUAUUCCCAGAUUUUCAUAAAACAAACAUACAAUGCCUUGCAAAAGUAUUCAACCCCUUCAGCGUUUUUCUAUUUUGUUGCAUUACAACCAUUCAUUUAAAUAGAUUUUUUAUGUGGAUUUCAUGUAAUGGACAUACACAAUAUAGUCCAAAUAGGUGAAGUGAAAUUCAACAA
ensembl:lncRNA